rfam:Brassica napus, WGS project CCCW01000000 data, contig: 15960
GGAAUAUAAUAACCCGUCUCUUAACUUUUAACUAAAAAAGCUAAGAACAGGUUCUUAAAUAAGAGUUUUAAGAGCCGGUUCUUAACUUUUUUAGUUAAAAGUUAAGAGACGGAUUCUUAUAUUCC